UAAUAUACGAAAAGAAUUAUUAGAUUUAGCUAGUUUUUUCAAUAUAUGGACGUAUAUAAUAAUAAAUAAAUAAAUAAAAUUAUUUUUGUCUUGUUUCUGAUAAAAUAUUUGUGAAUUCCACAUUGCACAUCAAUAUGUGCUAACGAAAUUAAAUAAUAUGAAGGGAUAAGACUAUGGAGUGACUAAUAUGUCCUUUAUGUCAAGUAGCUAUCCUGCGGAUUUAUUUGUUUAAAACUAAAUUUUAUCUUUUAUUUUAAAAAUAGUAUCGCAAAUUCUUUUCUGAAAAUUAGCGUUCCAAUAUCUAAAAAGCAAAUUUUUAUGAACAAAUUUAACUUUGUGCAAUAUAAUUUGUGUAUUGCACAUUUCAUUAAACGUGUUUUUUUAUGCUUUUUAAUUUUUUUUAAAUUAAAAUCAUUUAAAUUAAAUCAGUGUAUGUUUCAUUUUUUAUUAUUUUGAACCGAUUUUACAUUUAAACCAAGAGUUGGCUUUUUUUAAUACAGACCAACCAAUAAUACAGUUUUAAAUUAUUAAAAAAUUGUAUGAUGUAUAAAAUUCUGACAUAUUGCGAAAAAUUUUUAGAUUAAAACCUCGAGCCUCGUCAUGUGUGUGGCUAAUCUCUUCUCGGAAGCAGAGCUCGUGUUUUCACGUGACAUUUGGCACACGUUAGGCAAGAGCCGAAGCGCUAGAGUUUUAAUCUUUUCUACGAAUUAUCUCUUCCUAUUCUCAAGGCCAAUCGGCUACUUGCCCCCUCCCACGGUCCGCCAGGCGAUUCAGUACCAUUGCGAACACGCGAGCGGAAGGUCACGUCACUUACGCUUCGCGAUCGUAUGUUUUUCUACUCUGCAAGAGUCGUCUAUUUAGUAUCGCGAGGUGAGAUCUCGUCGCGUUCCUCGCGUCCUCGUCUAUCGAGAUCGAAUUUCCUCGCGGAAGGCAUCGCCGGGGAUGCCGGAGUCCGACAUACGCAACGAAGAGUGUCGCGUCGCCGCCGAUGUCUCGUCUUUUUAGUGUCGCGAGGCGAAAUCUCGUCGCGUUCCUCGCCGUCCUCUCGUCGGUCGAGAGCGAGUUUCCCCGCGGAUGGCAUCGCCGGGGAUGCCGAACCGAGUCGACGACGUCAAUCGGCGUGCAGAGCGGUCCUUGUCCCUCGCGACCCUCUCCCCCCUCGUCUAUGAGAAAUUGGCGCGAAAAUCAUGUGAGAUUUUCGUCGCGUCGCGUGACGGCCAUGUUGUGACGUAGUUAGUGCACAACUUCAGGUUGUACUUGACCGUCGCUCGCGUUCGCGUCGUUCGUCCACGUCUCCGUUCGGUACGCGGUCAUAUCCUUCCGCAUCGCGCGUUCCUUGGCGAUUCGCGAGUUCGCGAUCACCGUGGAUCGCUCGCAAACGUCAUCGGGGACGCGUAAGUGUGAUUCGUCGACGGGAGUGCCGUCGCGGGACGCCCAGUGUCCGGUGUACUGUGGCGUACGUAACGAAGAGUGUCGCGUCGCCGCCAUUAAUUGUCUCCGUCUUUUUUCUGUCGCGAGGUGAGAUCUCGUCGCGUUCCGCGUGUCCUCCCGUCGGUCGAGAGCGAGUCUCUCCGCGGAAGGCAUCGCCGGGGAUGCCGAAUCGAGUCGACGCCGUUAACCUGCAAAGUGGUCGCGCCUCUCUCCCCUCUCGUCAGUGAGAAAUCGUUGGCGCCAAAAUUGCGUGAGUUUUUCGUCGCGUCGUGUCGCGGUCCCCGUCUCCGCUCGAUCUCGUCGCGUCCCCGCGUCCUCUCGUUGGUCGAGAGCGAGUUUCCGCGCGGAAGGCACCGUCGGGGAUGCCGAACCGAGUCGACGCCGUUAACCUGCAAAGUGAUCGCGUCUCUCGCGUCGUUAGCUUUUCGGAUCGUGUCGCGAGUGUGUCUGCAAACUCAAUGAGGAUAACAUCAUCGAUUCAUCGACCGGAGAUGCUGGAAUGAUGGGUCGAACUUGAUCAAGGUCGAUAAUGCAGAAUCAGUGCACAGCUUUAACAAAAUUUCGUACGUAUCUCUUUUAUAUAUUUGGGAAACUAUUAACUCUGAUCAAAUUUGACCAUCCCGCUGGUAUCUCUUUAAGUGUGUACUAAACUUUAGUAUUUUUUUAAGUGUGUACUAAACAAUAUAUUAUAAAUUGUAUAAUAUAUAAUAUUUUUUAUUAGCAGCACUAACGAGGAUUUACCACCUUCAUUGACGAACCAUGAAAUGGCGUGACAAACAAUUUGUUCAGGACACAUGGGAUAUAUAUACGAGAGGUGAUGCUUCUACCGCUUUUAAGAUACUUCUCGGUAAGUGAUUUGCUUCUAUAAUGCACAAUUUGGCUUAUUAAUAAAUUGCUCUCGUAGAGUUCCAUGCUAAAAAAAAAUUCAUUCUGCAACAGGCUGAGUUAUCGGACUCCAUGUAUUCGAAAAUAUAAUUAGUUCGAAUAAAUGAUGUAAUACUGUUAUCAUUUACUCGAAGCAAUUUUUGUAAAUUACAUUACGCGACUUAACUGAUUGUUAUUAUAGUUAUUGAUAUCAGCUAUAAUAUUUGCAUUGUGGAAGUAUUUAUAUUAUUUUUAUAUUAUUUGCAAAGUUUACCACUACGUAAACCGAUUGCUCUCCAUCAGCUUUUGAAAGUGUUGAAAAUUUGUUUGGAAAAAUUAUGUGCGGUUAGGGUUUUAAAUAUUUUAAUUAUUUAUUUCUUUUAUCGUGCUUUUUCUAAUGGCACGACCACUUAUUGAGCGCCUUUAAUAAUAUUUAUUAUGUGUAAUUUAACAUAUUCUCGUUUAUGUCCGGGAUUGCAUCUGAAAUGUCCGGCGUUUUUGACCUCUAAGUCCUAUUAGCUCUAGUUUAAAAAAUUUUAAUAUGGCAACCCUAACUAAAAUCGCUACCGAUUUUCGCGACGUUCACCGGAAGAUGCAAAAAAAGGCUAUUGGGAGGAGGGAGGAGGACGAUAUCGCUGUGUGUGACGUCGCCACAAAUAUAAACCCAGUCUUAUUGAUCUCAGUCACAAAAAUAUUCAAGAUUCGACAUUCACGAGAAUAUUACGUCCAUUGAAUUUCUGUUGACUCGAGAAUGUCACCUGAUUUUUUCACCGUAAAUAGUCACCGUAAAUGAUUAUCUGUUCUAUUUAAGAUUACGAUUAAUAUAAACUUACACUUAAUCUUUCUUUAGAAAAAGAAUGGCGAAACAUAAAACUAGCGCAAAUGCAUUAACAAAACAAUCGUACUGAUUGUGAGUUCUAUUUUCUUGUUGCGGGAGUGUAAAAAGUUAACUACUCCCGGGUAAAAAAAUCAAUUUCAAAUUAGUAAAUCCGUAAAUAGUAAAUUAAAAUAUAGGCCAAUAUUUUGGGCAGAAUUUUUAUAGAUUCCAUCUCAUUUUUUUAAAUUGACUGAGAGAUUAUUUUUGACGCACAAAACAAAUCUUCUUUUAGAUUAUUUUGAAAAAAGAAUGCGCGCUACAAUUUACACACACAAAUAUACGUGUAGGCACAUACACAUACUCAUACAUACACAUUUGCUGGUUAUUUUAUGAACUAAAUCUCUAUUGGAAAACGGUUAUCCUACGCGAAGUUAAGUUCAAGCAAGAACACGAGAAGUCGCGCCCUCUUAAAAUCGAUUGUCGUGGAAUAGCGUAGAAUAUUUAUUUAUUCACAUUACCAUCGUUUUAUCGGAUAAAGUUUAUUUUAGAUAAUGUAUGCACGCGUCGCAAUAAUAUUACGACAUGUUAUUUCAUCGAGUGUUAUUUCAUCUUGUUUUAUUCUACGACGUUAUUAAAUAAAAAUUGUUCAAACCCACCGGAUUACAUUUUUGUCGAGUUGCGCGCUUAUUUCUCGUAUCAAAAUUAAAAAGAAA